CCCUGAAGUGUUGUGUUGAAUGGAGUAUGUGAUCUAUAAAGCUGAUUGAGGCUUUAUCAACUUCAGCAAAAGCCAUGCAUUCACGUUUGUAGACCUCACGGCCAUUAAACAAACCAGAGAAGAUCAAAGUCUCUUUCUUAACAAAUUUACAUCUGACGUUAACUAUGAAUUGUUUAGGGAACUGUUGUAGGUAUGUUGAGGGAACAAAAGUCACACAAAAUCUCAAAAUUAAAAACCAACAUUUUAAUUCUCCAUAAUGUAAGGAAGAUCUCCAAAAAAUAAUUAUGAUCCAAAAACAAAAACAAAUCUUGUAUAUUUGCUAUUAUAGUUAAUGUACAAUUCUGAAUACGAAAAAAAAAAACAUGAUUGUAGUAAUGAAAAAAAAACUAAUCUAAAACUGAUCAAGUCUUUCCUCGGUAACAGACCACAGUGUUUGAGGUUGAUUUGAACAGCGAAGAGGAUGGGAGAGGGGGAGGGAGGCAGUGCAGGAGAGACAGGUGUAGGCAAUGGGGAGGGAGGGGGGGGGGGGGGGGGGUUGGGCGCAAGUGUCCCUCACACACACUCACGAAAUGCCCAUCUUUACUGUUCUCCAUCCACACACAGCAACAAGUUGAGAUAGUGAAGGUGCUGCAUGAAGUACUUUUGUUUAAGGGGUUAGAAAACAAAAAUUACACUGAGCAAUACAAAUGUAAUUCUAAGGCAUGAAUGUCACUAUCCCUAUGCUUUUCUGUGCGCUGUUUGUUGUUUUGCAUUCAUGUUCUUGCUCUGGUCUUGAAAACCGUAUACAAAUGCAAAACAAGAAAAGCGUGCAUAGAGUGGCAGUCGUGUUGAGAAAAGACUGUUUCCAUCAAGCCUUGAGAAUGACAUUAAUAUCGCAGGUCAAGCUUGUCUUUCUCUCCAGGAAAAGCUGCAUUGAGCACCUGUUAAGUUUUGGACCUCUGUAGAAAAUUGGUCUGAACUUGCUUCUUCAGUAGUAAAUGUCUUCCUCCCGAUAAGAAUGAGUGCAUCAUCUGAAGAGCCUGCUCCCCCCUCUCAUUCUCCCAAUCGCUCUCUCUCGCUCUCCCUCUUUCAUUUUUUUUUUGUCUUUGGGAGGGGCAGAGGAGACUACACUACGCUAUUUCUCCCCCACAACACCAUUGCUCAUUUGGAAUAAUGUGUUCCUGUCAACAGUGCCACCCCUACUCUAUCCUAGUGAACCCUACGGAAAAAUGUCUUCAAACCAUAUGCACUGACUAAUGACACUUGCAGAGCAUGACAUUCCCGGGAGAAUGUACACUACUUGGGACUAAACGACCAGUGGCGCGCUAUAUUCAGGGCCAGGCUAAUCAUAGAGGUGAAGUCUUGUUCAUAGGGGGAAUACGUGUGUGUGUGUGUGUGUGUGUGUCCUGUUACAGAGCAGAAACCCAUCGACCUCGGUGCGCCUGAGUAUUUCUGGAUUUCUAGCUCUGUAGUCAAACCCAGUGCUAAGACGCUUUGCCCCGCGUCUACAAGUGAGUAAGGCUAUUCAAGAGCGAAGUGCACACACCCCCACCCCACCCCACCCUUUUAGUACUCACCACAUUUGGAUCAUAG
ensembl:lncRNA